rnacentral:rRNA from 1 species
GACAGAGGGUGCAAACGUUGCUCGGAAUUACUGGGCGUAAAGGGCGUGUAGGCGGGCAGGUAAGUCUGGCGUGAAAUCCCCAAGCUCAACUUGGGAACUGCACUCGAAACUACCUUUCUUGAGUGUCGGAGAGGAAAGCGGAAUUCCUGGUGUAGAGGUGAAAUUCGUAGAUAUCAGGAGGAACACCAGUGGCGAAGGCGGCUUUCUGGACGAUGACUGACGCUGAGACGCGAAAGCGUGGGGAGCAAACAGG